GCUGCACAGACAAAGGCACGCCAAGGCUGGAGUCUUGUCGUUCACCCUUUGGCAAUCUUGAGAACCAGCACUGUACCUUUUGUCUGUGGAGUAAGCCGGGUGGGAGCCAGGAAGGAGCCCAGAAAGCAGUGUGGCCAACCUGCGGUCAUCUCUCCUGUUUACCUCACCUGCCAAAAAGGGACUUCUUUUGUCAAAAUAGAAUAUGUGUGAGAAGUUCAGGCUGGUUGUUUGAGGAGUUUGAACUGCUAGGCCUUUCCUCUGUGUCUUGGUUUCAAAAUCAACAAACCCACAUCUGCCCGAAAAAGGAAAAAUGGAGUCAUCUAUGUCAUCACUCUUCUUCAGCAGAGCAGCGCACCAGUGACAGGACAGGCUCCUUGGUCCCUGCUGUCCCCAAAAAGUGACUGGAGGAAGCUUCAGAGGCUGCUGACCCAUAACACCCCUGGUAUGGGGGUGUGCAGAAAGGCCCAUUUAUUUGGUCUUUUUUCUAAGAUCAGUCUGGUAUAAUUGUUUUCUGAGAGCUUCUUGUUCAUCUGGUUUUAAAAUACUUAUUAUUCUGCCUCCCCACCCCUAGAGAAAAGCAAAACGACUACAGGGUUGACUGCCCUGGGUUUUUCCUCUGCAGUACAAUCAGAGUAGCAAGAAGGUGGUUCUAAAAAACGGGAUUUAUUUAUAAAUAUAGUUGGAAAUAUUUUAAAAAUAAAAAAUGCCCAGGGCGAGGCCAGGUCACUGCCCCAUGGUGAGAAGCGGGAUGUUUACAGGGAGGCGGCCCGGCACCUCCCCUGGGGAGCUGCACAGUGAUUUGGGGUCAAGUGGAAACGCUCUGCCGCCACUGCCCUGGCGCUUCGGAUUCCAGGGAGUCCGGGCCAAGACUACAGCCAGGCUGGUGUCACUCGCUCCGUGCUUUCAACACGCUGAGCUCGCAGUUCAAGAAAAUUUGAAGUUUUCCUGGCUUCCGUGUGCCUAGAGGAGCAUCCAGUGGAAUAAUUAAGGACACUGGGAAUCUGUAAAAAACUCUGAAGAGCAUCCCAGAGAAUGAAACCAGCUCUGGACCUCCCACUUUGAUUUGUUUUCUAACAUGCCUGCUGUGCGGAUGGCUGGAAAGAGCCAGCUCCCGAAACCAUAAGCAAAUCAACCUGUAGCCUUUUGGAUAUAAUCCAUGAGUUUGUAGUUUGGCAGAAACAGCUGGCUUCCUGGCAGUUAUACUUUCUGAGGGCUCGGCCAUUGCUACCAUCAAGGAUACUCUGACUUUCCUCAGUGCCAUGAGGUCUAUUUGAAUCUUCAAAUGUCUAUGAUCUGGCCAGAUCCAAAUUUCCCUUCAAGGGCAUGGCAAGAGGAAUGUUUUCUGAGGGCGGCCAGACACCUGGCUGUGUCCCCAGUGGCAUCUUUCCCAGCUUUCUGGCUACACAUCUUUCACCUCCCAGCUUCACUCUGAACCCUGAUGGGGUGAAGUUGGCUGGCCUGCUUCACCUAAAGGCACACAGGGACACUCCUCACAGCACGAUGCAAGGCCCAACUGAGCUCUCACUCUCCAUGAAAGGUUUGGUGACAGAGGCUUCUGAAGGUAGAGCCAGAAGAGGCUGAGGUAGAGCAGUGAAUGGAGAAUAAGGAAGGGGACCUGCCAAGAACAUGCACAGACAGUUCACAGACAAAAGCACGAUCCCGCAGAAGACAUAAUAGCUGUGCGUACAUGAUACCCUCCUGAAGUCCCCCUGGCAUGAUCAUUCCAGUUAGUGUAGCCACCUUGAAAGCAAAUUUCACAGCCUAGUUGAGUAAUCCAUUGUGCAGUGAUUAGCUGUUAAUGAAGCUGAAAAACCUAAAUCAUCCAAAAGUGAUCUGAAUUAAUUUUUUUAUGAUUAGCACUGCUAGACAAGCUGGUGUCACACGACAAAGAAAGUCUGGGGACAGAAACAGACAUUCGCAUGUAGCUAUGAUGUGUACGCACAGCCACACACAGAGAAAAAUCUAGGCAAAGGAAAUAAAUAUGCAACAGAAGAUUCUGGAGGAAGAAACCUUCAAGGACAGUCCAUGAAUUGAAGGUGUGAAAUCCAAGGUGGAAUUAAUGAAAUUCAUUUAGUUCCCCCAUACCCCAUGGGCCACAGAAUCCCUCACCCUACUAGUACCACCCUUCAGGGCCUGUUCUGACUUUAAUUCUCUAUAGGGGCUGGCACUCAGCUUAAAGAAUCCCUUGGGAGCAUAAACUGUUAAU